rfam:Sus scrofa chromosome 15.
UCCCUGGUGGCUCAGUGGGUUAAGGACUUGGCAUUGUCACUGCUGAGGCGCAGGUUCGAUCCCUGCCCUGGGAA